AACGUGAUAAUUGAGUCAAAUAAGAUUGGGUUAGACGAUCACGAUUCGAUCAGUUGGAAUCGGAAUCGGGAAAAGACAAAGAUCGAGUCUAAAAGGUUCGCCCAAUUGUGAUCACCACCGGCCUGUCUAAUUUUUAUACCUACCUGCUUUGAUUUCUAUCCGAGGAUUUCUAAUAUAACAGACUAACAAACAGUUAUAUGUGUGUAUCUGUGGCUGUGAUCAUGAGCGAUGUCAUUUGUCAAUAAAAAAUAUAUCUUAAAAAAA